UACAGAGGUCUCGAGCGUUGUUCGGAUUCAUUGGGCGUAAAGGGUGCGUAGGCGGCGCGGUAAGUCGGGUGUGAAAUCUCGGAGCUUAACUCCGGAAACUGCAUUCGAUACUGCCGGUGCUUGAGGACUGGAGAGGAGACUGGAAUUUACGGUGUAGCGGUGAAAUGCGUAGAGUAUCAUGAAGGAAGACCAGUGGCGAAGGCGGGUCUCUGGA
rnacentral:rRNA from 1 species